UACGUAGGGUGCAAGCGUUGCCCGGAUUUAUUGGGCGUAAAGAGCGUGUAGGCGGCCAGGUAGGUCCGUUGUGAAAACUCGAGGCUCAACCUCGAGACGCCGAUGGAAACCAUCUGGCUAGAGUCCGGAAGAGGAGAGUGGAAUUCCCGGUGUAGCGGUGAAAUGCGCAGAUAUCGGGAAGAACACCCGUGGCUAAGGCGGCUCUCUAGUACGGUACUGACGCUGAGACGCGAAAGCGUGGGGAGCGAACAGG
rnacentral:rRNA from 1 species